AUACUCUGGUUUCUCUUCAAAUCAUAUAAACCUUUUGCCUUUUACUAAAGAUUUCCAUGGAGAGGAACAAUUCUGAGUCUUAAUCCACUUUUUGAGGCCCAGCUUUUGCAGGGC